GAUCCAGACCUUGUCGGCCAGGAAGGUGGAAGGGGUACAGGAGCCCCCAAAGGCCGUGGACGGGGAGGAGGACUCGUCUGAGGAAGAGCUGGACGAGACCCGGGAUGACCCGCGGAAGGUCCUGGAAGCCCUGAGGCACAACCCCGCGUUGCUGCAGCAGUUCCGGCCCGUGCUGGAGGGCACACUGCAGGAGAAACUGCAAGGCUUGGGGAUCA